UUCAUUGUUGUCAAUGAUGUAUUCUUUUGGGACUGAAUCUAAAUGAUUUAACAAAAGUUCGUCACUACCACUGAGACAACAGUGAA